CUUGCCUACAUUUCUUCUGUUCCACAUGGCGGCAUUGAACAAGUUCGGAUUCACUGGUUACUGGAAUUAGUUGCUCUUAGUUUUUUAGGAAGGUGGUCAUAAUCCUGCACACAGUUAAGUACUGCAUCAGUACUCUAGGAUGGCCUCUGAUAGUCCAUCUGUGAAUAUAGCAGCUGCUGCCAUCUGUAAAAAAGGUGACACAAAUGCUUUUGCCAAGAAGUAGAUGUGCUCAAAUAAAAGACUGCCACCUUCCCCUUCUUA